rnacentral:rRNA from 1 species
UUUGAUCAUGGCUCAGGACGAAACGCUGGCGGCGUGCCUAAUACAUGCAAGUCGAGCGAAGUUUUUUCUGGUGCUUGCACUAGAAAAACUUAGCGGCGAACGGGUGAGUAACACGUAAAGAACCUGCCUCAUAGACUGGGACAACUAUUGGAAACGAUAGCUAAUACCGGAUAACAUCAUUAACUGCAUGGUUGAUGUUUGAAAGUUGGUUUUGCUAACACUAUGAGAUGGCUUUGCGGUGCAUUAGCUAGUUGGUGGGGUAAAGGCCUACCAAGGCGACGAUGCAUAGCCGACCUGAGAGGGUGAUCGGCCACACUGGGACUGAGACACGGCCCAGACUCCUACGGGAGGCAGCAGUAGGGAAUCUUCCGCAAUGGGCGAAAGCCUGACGGAGCAACGCCGCGUGAGUGAAGAAGGAUUUCGGUUCGUAAAGCUCUGUUGUUAGGGAAGAAUGAUUAUGUAGUAACUAUACAUAGUAGAGACGGUACCUAACCAGAAAGCCACGGCUAACUACGUGCCAGCAGCCGCGGUAAUACGUAGGUGGCAAGCGUUGUCCGGAAUUAUUGGGCGUAAAGCGCGCGCAGGUGGUUUAAUAAGUCUGAUGUGAAAGCCCACGGCUCAACCGUGGAGGGUCAUUGGAAACUGUUAAACUUGAGUGCAGGAGAGAAAAGUGGAAUUCCUAGUGUAGCGGUGAAAUGCGUAGAGAUUAGGAGGAACACCAGUGGCGAAGGCGGCUUUUUGGCCUGUAAACUGACACUGAGGCGCGAAAGCGUGGGGAGCAAAACAGGAUUAGAUACCCUGGUAGUCCACGCCGUAAACGAUGAGUGCUAAGUGUUGGUCUCAUAAGAGAUCAGUGCUGCAGCUAACGCAUUAAGCAUUCCGCCUGGGGAGUACGACCGCAAGGUUGAAACUCAAAAGGAAAUUGACGGGGACCCGCACAAGCGGUGGAGCAUGUGGUUUAAUUCGAAGCAACGCGAAGAACCUUACCAAGUCUUGACAUACUGUGAGGACACAAGAGAUUGUGUUGUUCUGACCUUUGGUUAGACACAGAUACAGGUGGUGCAUGGUUGUCGUCAGCUCGUGUCGUGAGAUGUUGGGUUAAGUCCCGCAACGAGCGCAACCCUUAUAUCUAGUUGCCAGCAGUAAGAUGGGGACUCUAGAUAGACUGCCAGUGAUAAACUGGAGGAAGGUGGGGAUGAACGUCAAAUCAUCAUGCCCCUUAUGAACUUGGGCUACACACGUGCUACGAAUGGAUAGGAACAAAGAGAAGGGAAGCUCGCGAGAAGUAAGCGAAACCUCGACGAAAACUAUUCUCGGUUGGAAUUGUAGUUCUGCGAACUCGAACUACAAUAAGGCGGAAUUCGCUGUUAUUCGGGAAUUCAGAAAUGUCGCGGUAAAUACGUUCCCGGGUCUGUACACACCGCCCG